rnacentral:rRNA from 1 species
GACGAACGCUGGCGGCGCGCUUAACACAUGCAAGUCGAACGGAAAGGCCCUGCUUUUCUGGCUUGCUCGAGUGGCGAACGCGUGCGUAACACGUGACUAUCCUCCCCUCUAUUUUAGGCUAUCCUCAGGAAACUUUUUUUCAUACCGCAUAAGAUCUACUGCUCCAUCGGGGGGUUUGGAAACUUUCGGCGGUUAGGGAUCGACUUGCGGUUUAUCACCUCGUUGGUGGGGUGCAGGCUUACCAAGGCUUUGACGGCUACCCGGUCUGAGAGGGUCACCGGCCACAUUGUGACUAAGACACGGACGAGACUCCUACGGGAGGCAGCAGUAGGGAAUAUUGCCCAAUGGUCCGAAGCCUUAUGGAGGCACGCCGCGUGCGUAAUGACGGUCUUCGGGUUGAAACCCGCUUUCGCAUGAGACAAAGCGUGAGUGACGGUAAUGAGUAGAGAAGCACCGGCUAACUACGUG